GAUGAACGCUGGCGGCGUGCCUAAUACAUGCAAGUCGAGCGAACGGACGAGAAGCUUGCUUCUCUGAUGUUAGCGGCGGACGGGUGAGUAACACGUGGAUAACCUACCUAUAAGACUGGGAUAACUUCGGGAAACCGGAGCUAAUACCGGAUAAUAUUUUGAACCGCAUGGUUCAAAAGUGAAAGACGGUCUUGCUGUCACUUAUAGAUGGAUCCGCGCUGCAUUAGCUAGUUGGUAAGGUAACGGCUUACCGAGGCAACGAUGCAUAGCCGACCUGAGAGGGUGAUCGGCCACACGGGAACUGGGACACGGUCCAGACGCCUACGGGAGGCAGCAGUAGGGAAUCUUCCGCAAUGGGCGAAAGCCUGACGGAGCAACGCCGCGUGAGUGAUGAAGGUCUUCGGAUCGUAAAACUCUGUUAUUAGGGAAGAACAUAUGUGUAAGUAACUGUGCACAUCUUGACGGUACCUAAUCAGAAAGCCACGGCUAACUACGUG
rnacentral:rRNA from 1 species